rnacentral:rRNA from 1 species
UACGUAGGGCGCAAGCGUUGUCCGGAAUUAUUGGGCGUAAAGAGCUCGUAGGCGGCUUGUCACGUCGGGGUGUGAAAGCCCGGGGCUUAACCCCGGGUCUGCAUUCGAUACGGGCUGAGCUAGAGUGUGGUAGGGGAGAUCGGAAUUCCUGGUGUAGCGGUGAAAUGCGCAGAUAUCAGGAGGAACACCGGUGGCGAAGGCGGAUCUCUGGGCCAUUACUGACGCUGAGGAGCGAAAGCGUGGGGAGCGAACAGG